GAUGAACGCUGGCGGCGUGCCUAAUACAUGCAAGUCGAGCGAACGGACGAGAAGCUUGCUUUUCUGAUGUUAGCGGCGGACGGGUGAGUAACACGUGGAUAACCUACCUAUAAAACUGGGAUAACUUCGGGAAACCGGAGCUAAUACCGGAUAAUAUUUUGAACCGCAUGGUUCAAAAGUGAAAGACGGUCUUGCUGUCACUUAUAGAUGGAUCCGCGCUGCAUUAGCUAGUUGGUAAGGUAACGGCUUACCAAGGCAACGAUGCAUAGCCGACCUGAGAGGGUGAUCGGCCACACUGGAACUGAGACACGGUCCAGACUCCUACGGGAGGCAGCAGUAGGGAAUCUUCCGCAAUGGGCGAAAGCCUGACGGAGCAACGCCGCGUGAGUGAUGAAGGUCUUCGGAUCGUAAAACUCUGUUAUUAGGGAAGAACAUAUGUGUAAGUAACUGUGCACAUCUUGACGGUACCUAAUCAGAAAGCCACGGCUAACUACGU
rnacentral:rRNA from 1 species